UGGCGGCGUGCCUAAUACAUGCAAGUCGAACGAGUUCUGAUUAUUGAAAGGUGCUUGCAUCUUGAUUUAAUUUUGAACGAGUGGCGGACGGGUGAGUAACACGUGGGUAACCUGCCCUUAAGUGGGGGAUAACAUUUGGAAACAGAUGCUAAUACCGCAUAAAUCCAAAAACCGCAUGGUUCUUGGCUGAAAGAUGGCGUAAGCUAUCGCUUUUGGAUGGACCCGCGGCGUAUUAGCUAGUUGGUGAGGUAACGGCUCACCAAGGCAAUGAUACGUAGCCGAACUGAGAGGUUGAUCGGCCACAUUGGGACUGAGACACGGCCCAAACUCCUACGGGAGGCAGCAGUAGGGAAUCUUCCACAAUGGACGCAAGUCUGAUGGAGCAACGCCGCGUGAGUGAAGAAGGCUUUCGGGUCGUAAAACUCUGUUGUUGGAGAAGAAUGGUCGGCAGAGUAACUGUUGUCGGCGUGACGGUAUCCAACCAGAAAGCCACGGCUAACUACGUGCCAGCAGCCGCGGUAAUACGUAGGUGGCAAGCGUUAUCCGGAUUUAUUGGGCGUAAAGCGAGCGCAGGCGGUUUUUUAAGUCUGAUGUGAAAGCCCUCGGCUUAACCGAGGAAGUGCAUCGGAAACUGGGAAACUUGAGUGCAGAAGAGGACAGUGGAACUCCAUGUGUAGCGGUGAAAUGCGUAGAUAUAUGGAAGAACACCAGUGGCGAAGGCGGCUGUCUGGUCUGUAACUGACGCUGAGGCUCGAAAGCAUGGGUAGCGAACAGGAUUAGAUACCCUGGUAGUCCAUGCCGUAAACGAUGAAUGCUAGGUGUUGGAGGGUUUCCGCCCUUCAGUGCCGCAGCUAACGCAUUAAGCAUUCCGCCUGGGGAGUACGACCGCAAGGUUGAAACUCAAAGGAAUUGACGGGGGCCCGCACAAGCGGUGGAGCAUGUGGUUUAAUUCGAAGCAACGCGAAGAACCUUACCAGGUCUUGACAUCUUUUGAUCACCUGAGAGAUCAGGUUUCCCCUUCGGGGGCAAAAUGACAGGUGGUGCAUGGUUGUCGUCAGCUCGUGUCGUGAGAUGUUGGGUUAAGUCCCGCAACGAGCGCAACCCUUAUGACUAGUUGCCAGCAUUUAGUUGGGCACUCUAGUAAGACUGCCGGUGACAAACCGGAGGAAGGUGGGGAUGACGUCAAAUCAUCAUGCCCCUUAUGACCUGGGCUACACACGUGCUACAAUGGAUGGUACAACGAGUUGCGAGACCGCGAGGUCAAGCUAAUCUCUUAAAGCCAUUCUCAGUUCGGACUGUAGGCUGCAACUCGCCUACACGAAGUCGGAAUCGCUAGUAAUCGCGGAUCAGCACGCCGCGGUGAAUACGUUCCCGGGCCUUGUACACACCGCCCGUCACACCAUGAGAGUUUGUAACACCCGAAGCCGGUGGCGUAACCCUUUUAGGGAGCGAGCCGUCUAAGGUGGGACAAAUGAUUAGGGUGAAGUCAUAACAAG
rnacentral:rRNA from 1 species